rnacentral:rRNA from 1 species
UACGUAGGGGGCUAGCGUUGUCCGGAAUCAUUGGGCGUAAAGCGCGUGUAGGCGGUCCGGUAAGUCCGCUGUGAAAGUCGGGGGCUCAACCCUCGGAUGCCGGUGGAUACUGUCGGGCUUGAGUACGGAAGAGGCGAGUGGAAUUCCUGGUGUAGCGGUGAAAUGCGCAGAUAUCAGGAGGAACACCGGUGGCGAAGGCGGCUAUCUGGACAGAAACUGACGCUGAGGCGCGAAAGCUAGGGGAGCGAAUGGG